rnacentral:rRNA from 1 species
GAUGAACGCUGGCGGCGUGCCUAAUACAUGCAAGUCGAGCGAACAGAUGAGGAGCUUGCUCCUCUGACGUUAGCGGCGGACGGGUGAGUAACACGUGGAUAACCUACCUAUAAGACUGGGAUAACUUCGGGAAACCGGAGCUAAUACCGGAUAAUAUAUUGAACCGCAUGGUUCAAUAGUGAAAGACGGUUUUGCUGUCACUUAUAGAUGGAUCCGCGCCGCAUUAGCUAGUUGGUAAGGUAACGGCUUACCAAGGCAACGAUGCGUAGCCGACCUGAGAGGGUGAUCGGCCACACUGGAACUGAGAACAGGUCCAGACUCCUACGGGAGGCAGCAGUAGGGAAUCCUCCGCAAUGGGCGAAAGCCUGACGGAGCAAAGCCGCGGGAGUGAUGAAGGUCUUCGGAUCGUAAAACUCUGUUAUUAGGGAAGAACAAAUGUGUAAGUAACUAUGCACGUCUUGACGGUACCUAAUCAGAAAGCCACGGCUAACUACGUG